GUGCCCGCUUUGCCGGCACCUAUAUUGACCCUGGAACUAUACAGGGAAGAUGAGCAUGGCCUCUGUGCAAGGGUGACACUCAGUAUUUGUAAAAUAUUCUCUUCUGAGUUUUU
rnacentral:snRNA from 1 species